UGCCUAACACAUGCAAGUCGAGCGGAGAAAAGUAGAGUAGCUUGCUACAAACUUUACUUAGCGGCGGACGGGUGAGUAACGCGUGGGCGAAUCUGCCUCUUACAGGGGGAGUAACAACAGGGAAACCGUAGUGCUAAUACCGCAUAACAUCGUUUCAAGGCAUCUUGAGACGCUCAAAGGAAGCAAUCCAGUAAGAGAGGAGCCCGCGUCUGAUUAGCUAGUUGGUAAGGUAACGGCUUACCAAGGCAACGAUCAGUAGCCGAACUGAGAGGUUGAUCGGCCACAUCGGGACUGAGACACGGCCCAGACUCCUACGGGAGGCAGCAGUGGGGAAUAUUGCAACCAAUGGGGGAAACCCGUGAUGCAGCAACGCCGCGUGAAGGAUGAAGGCCUUCGGGUUGUAAACUUCUUUGACCGGGGACGAUAAUGACGGUACCCGGAAAACAAGCCACGGCUAACUACGUGCCAGCCGCCGC
rnacentral:rRNA from 1 species